GGGGAUGACCGGCCUAGACAGGCGGUUCCCUCUUGUAGGUGCUAUGCCGAGAAUGCUCGAGAUCUCGUUAACCCUCGAGCACCAACCUAGUUGCAAAAAACAACCUCGUUGCAAAAGUAAAGGCAUCAGUUUCUCCGUAUUUUACGGCGAACGCAUUUACUCCUGUUUACGCUUUAGCCUAAACAGCAUUCGCGCUCAGUACGCCUUCUAGGGAGUCGCGGGUGAUAUAAAAAGAGGGCUCAUCGCUUUAAAUGACUCUACAAAGUGAAAAACCAUAGAGUAUCGACAAUGUAUAAUUUAGAGCAUUUUUGAUAUACAUUAUUUAAAACAAACAGAAAUGUUCUACGCAUAGUAGAUUCCCACAAGAGCAUCGUCUGCACGGGGGUUCGAUUCCCCCCAUCUCCACUC
rnacentral:tmRNA from 1 species